rnacentral:tRNA from 1 species
UCCUGGUUAGAUCAUUUGGUAGAGCGCUCCACUGGAAAUGGAGAGGUCCCUGGAUCGAUACCGGGACCAGGCG